ACAAAAAAACGUGUUCCCAUGACAGAAUCCCUUUAAGUAUAGUGAGGCCAGAAUUUGGCUCAUGGGUAAAAAUGGUUAGGGAAAUGUAAACAGACUGCCAAAUAUGGUCAGUGAAUGACUAUGGUUGUCUCCUGUUUAAAAUAUUUCCCUGUUUCUUGUCCCCCAUUAGCUAAAUCCAGAAUCCAUCUGCCAAUUACUGAAGCGGCAGAGAAAGAAACCAUGAUUGGCUGUCAACUACAAAAUGGUUGGUUGGGAGUAUUGAUGGAUGUGUCCUGAAUACUGGUAAAGACUGUCUAUGGAACCUCAACUUGGACCUCAACAUAGAGAUUUGGUGCCUACUCAUGGGCCAUCAUGUUUCAUCUACAAGCAAAGGAAGAUAUGGUCCCUGGUAAGGCUUCACCAUGAGUGCAGUAUUGGGCUCCAGUGCAGAGACUAAGUGCAACUAAACUGGACAUGGCUCAGACAUUUGCUUCUCAACUUUCAAAUAAGACAGAAUUUCUACAGGCACAGAAUGGAGUCUGACAAGAGAAUGACUGGAAUGACUGCAAAGGAAUUAGAAACAAUCAUGGAAAAGAGCACAUGGACAUUACUGAUGGCAGGAGGAAUGGCACCUUUGGGGAUAGACCUCUCUAACCAAUUAUCCUGGAAGACUAUAACAUUAA